rnacentral:rRNA from 1 species
AUUGAACGCUGGCGGCAUGCCUUACACAUGCAAGUCGAACGGCAGCGGGGGAGAAGCUUGCUUUUCCUGCCGGCGGGUGGCGAACGGGUGAGUAAUACAUCGGAACGUGCCCUGUAGUGGGGGAUAACUAGUCGAAAGAUUGGCUAAUACCGCAUACGACCUGAGGGUGAAAGUGGGGGACCGCAAGGCCUCAUGCUAUAGGAGCGGCCGAUGUCUGAUUAGCUAGUUGGUGGGGUAAAGGCCUACCAAGGCGACGAUCAGUAGCUGGUCUGAGAGGACGAUCAGCCACACUGGGACUGAGACACGGCCCAGACUCCUACGGGAGGCAGCAGUGGGGAAUUUUGGACAAUGGGCGAAAGCCUGAUCCAGCAAUGCCGCGUGUGUGAAGAAGGCCUUCGGGUUGUAAAGCACUUUUGUCCGGAAAGAAAUGGCUCUGGUUAAUACCUGGGGUCGAUGACGGUACCGGAAGAAUAAGGACCGGCUAACUACGUGCCAGCAGCCGCCAUAA